rnacentral:tRNA from 1 species
AAGGUUAUAGGUUAAAACUAAGAAAAACCAUCGACCUUCAAAGUCGAAAAUGAGUAAGUCUAACCUUG